rnacentral:lncRNA from 1 species
GUUGCUUAUUCUUUAGUUUUCUAUGUUGUGCCAUGUGUGCUAUUGUUUGUCUGUUUGUCUUUUUCAUUUUUAGCCAUGCCUUGUCAGUUUAUUUUAGAUUUAUGAGUUUGACUGUCCCUCUGGUAUCUUUACUGACUCUUUAACACAUUUUUCAACAGAUAGAUAUAGAAGAUAUGGAAAUGAGUGCCAACGUUUACUAUUAUUACCUAUUUAAAUUUCACAGAAUUAUAGGGCCAUUUAUAG